UACGGGGGGAGCAAGCGUUGUUCGGAUUUACUGGGCGUAAAGGGCGCGUAGGCGGCGCAACAAGUCACUUGUGAAAUCUCCGGGCUUAACCCGGAGCGGUCAAGUGAUACUGUCGUGCUAGAGUGCGGAAGGGGCUACUGGAAUUCUCGGUGUAGCGGUGAAAUGCGCAGAUAUCGGGAGGAACACCAGUAGCGAAGGCAGGUCUCUGGGCCACUACUGACGCUGAGAAGGCGAAAGCAUGGGGAGCGAACAGG
rnacentral:rRNA from 1 species